GAGGGUGUAGCUUAGUGGUAGAGCACAUGCUUAGCAUGCACAAGGUCCUGGCUUCAAUUCCCUGUACCUCUA
rnacentral:tRNA from 1 species